GUGCUCGCUUCUGCAGCACAUAUACUAAAAUGGAACGAUACAGAGAAGAUUAGCAUGGCCCCUGCGCAAGGAUGACACGCAAUUCGUGAAGCGUUAAAUAAAUAU
rnacentral:snRNA from 1 species